rnacentral:lncRNA from 1 species
UAAAGAAGUUGGAAGUGGUGAAGGCAGGAGACUGCUGUACCACCAAACUCCUAAAGUUAUAGUGCGACAGAAAGACAGCAACCUUGUAUCUUGGGGCCACCUUUCAUAGGGAUUGUUAAUACAAUUAAAUAGUGAUAGUCCACCAUAGAACCCAUAGGAAAGAUGGAACCUUGUGCUUAAUAUAGUUCACAUGUGAAAACGGGAC